UACGAGAGGGGCAAGUGUUAUUCAGUCAAAUUGGGCGUAAAGCGUCUUUAGGCGGUUUUUCGUGUGUUAAUGUUUAAAAAUCAAAACGUAAUUUUGAAAUAUUCAUUAAAACUGUUUUUCUAGAGUUUUUAAGAGGUUAGUAUUAUUUUUUCAAAAAAGUUAAAAUUUUUUGAUAGAAAAAGGAGUACCAUAAGGUGAAGACCACUAACUAGUAUAAACUGACGCUAAAAGACUAAAGCAUGGGGAGCGAUUGGG
rnacentral:rRNA from 1 species